rnacentral:lncRNA from 1 species
UUCUUUUCCUACAUUGAAAAUAUUUAAGUCUAUGGUCAUGUUUCCAAAAGUGAGCUUCAUUGAACCAUUCCUACAAUUAAUUAAGGCAUUGGAUGUAGCAAGAAAAGGUCGUCCUAAAAUGAUAGGAAUUUGGUUCUUAGGAUUCGAGACGGGUUGAGUCUCGAGAACAACAAAGUCAACGGGAAAGAUAAAAUCACCGAUUU